UACGUAGGGGGCAAGCGUUGUCCGGAAUCAUUGGGCGUAAAGCGCGUUUAGGCGGCUCGGUAAGUCUGCUCUGAAAGCCCGGGGCUCAACCCUGGGAGGCGGGUGGAUACUGCUGAGCUCGAGUCCGGAAGAGGCGAGUGGAAUUCCUGGUGUAGCGGUGAAAUGCGCAGAUAUCAGGAGGAACACCAAUGGCGAAGGCAGCUCGCUGGGACGGUACUGACGCUGAGACGCGAAAGCGUGGGGAGCCAACAGG
rnacentral:rRNA from 1 species